UCUAUCCUGCUCUUCCCUUAAGCUUCAUUUCCCUUUGUGUGCAUACAGCCAAAAAUCUUCCUCUUGUCUCUUUAAAUCCAAGCUCCUUCAUUGUCUGGCUAAAUCCCUUCUUUUUCCUGAGGUUCAGUGUCAAAUAACUGCAAAAUGGGGGAAAGUACUAAAAGGGACAUAAAGAUCCCAGGAAGCCUCUGGUUUGCCAUUUCCUAGCCAAGUGACCUGGAACAAGCAAUGUAACUCUUUUAUCUUUAAAGUAGGGACAAACAACAUUUAAUCUGAAGAUUGCUAUCAGGAUUAGAGAUAACAUCCUAAGAGACUUAAUAUGCAAUUUGUUGCUGUUGUUUGGUUGCUCAGUCGUGUACAGCUCUUUGCAACCCCAUGGACUACAGCUUGCCAGGCAUACCUAUCCUUUAAUAUGCAAUAGGCUUCCAAUAAAUUGUAUUCUUGUUUAUAACAAUA